rnacentral:rRNA from 1 species
AGGGUGCAAGCGUUAAUCGGAAUUACUGGGCGUAAACGCACGUAGGUGGCUUUGCAAGCCGAUUGUGAAAUCCCCGGGCUUAACCUGGGAACUGCAGUCGAGACUGCACUGCUUGAGUAUGGGAGAGGGAGGUGGAAUUUCCGGUGUAGCGGUGAAAUGCGUAGAUAUCGGAAGGAACAUCAGUGGCGAAGGCGACCUCCUGGACCAAUACUGACACUCAAGUGCGAAAGCGUGGGGAGCAAACAGGAUUAGAUACCCUGGUAGUCCACGCCAUAAACGAUGACAACUGGAUGUCGGAGGGGUCUGCCCUUCGGUGUCGUAGCUAACGCGUUAAGUUGUCCGCCUGGGGAGUACGGCCGCAAGGUUGAAACUCAAAUGAAUUGACGGGGACCCGCACAAGCGGUGGAGCAUGUGGUUUAAUUCGAUGCAACGCGAAGAACCUUACCUGGUCUUGACAUGUCUGGAAUCUUGCAGAGAUGCGAGAGUGCCUUCGGGAA